GGUUGGUUCCCGGGUGACGCACCCCAGAAUCAGGGUCUCUCCUCUCUGGUUCCUGGCGCGUCACCCUAGAACCGCA
rfam:Myotis brandtii contig241661, whole genome shotgun sequence.